GACGAACGCUGGCGGCGUGCUUAACACAUGCAAGUCGAGCGGUAAGGCCCUUUCGGGGUACGACGAGCGGCGAACGGGUGAGUAACACGUGGGUGACCUGCCCUCAGCUCUGGGAUAAGCCUGGGAAACCGGGUCUAAUACUGGAUAUGACUCCAUGACGCAUGUUGUGGGGUGGAAAGCCUUGUGCGGCUGAGGAUGGGCCCGCGGCCUAUCAGCUUGUUGGUGGGGUGAGGCCUACCAAGGCGACGACGGGUAGCCGGCCUGAGAGGGCGACCGGCCACACUGGGACUGAGACACGGCCCAGACUCCUACGGGAGGCAGCAGUGGGGAAUCUUGCGCAAUGGGCGAAAGCCUGACGCAGCGACGCCGCGUGAGGGAUGACGGCCUU
rnacentral:rRNA from 1 species